rnacentral:rRNA from 1 species
UGGGGAAUUUUGGACAAUGGGCGAAAGCCUGAUCCAGCAAUGCCGCGUGUGUGAAGAAGGCCUUCGGGUUGUAAAGCACUUUUGUCCGGAAAGAAAUCCUUGGCUCUAAUACAGUCGGGGGAUGACGGUACCGGAAGAAUAAGCACCGGCUAACUACGUGCCAGCAGCCGCGGUAAUACGUAGGGUGCAAGCGUUAAUCGGAAUUACUGGGCGUAAAGCGUGCGCAGGCGGUUUGCUAAGACCGAUGUGAAAUCCCCGGGCUCAACCUGGGAACUGCAUUGGUGACUGGCAGGCUAGAGUAUGGCAGAGGGGGGUAGAAUUCCACGUGUAGCAGUGAAAUGCGUAGAGAUGUGGAGGAAUACCGAUGGCGAAGGCAGCCUCCUGGGCCAAUACUGACGCUCAUGCACGAAAGCGUGGGGGAGCAAAACAGGAUUAGAUACCCCUGGUAGUCCACGCCCUAAACGAUGUCAACUAGUUGUUGGGGAUUCAUUUCCUUAGUAACGUAGCUAACGCGUGAAGUUGACCGCCUGGGGAGUACGGUCGCAAGAUU